rnacentral:lncRNA from 1 species
GCCGUCUCCGACCACCGGAACCCUUCCCGCUCAGCAGUUGAACUGGAAGGCGAGCUCGAAUUCCUACCCGGACUUCUCUUUCCAGACCCACCCUGCCCGCAGCAGCGAUUCCGCUUCCGCCUUCCCGAAUUCUUCGGGGACGACCUCCCUGGUAGGUCCAUCGCCACGGUUUCAGUCUUCCUGUCUUCUUCUUCCGCGGUAAAUCUCUGGUUUAUAGCUUCUCGAUUCUCUCGGUUCGUGUUGCAGGGCGUGCAGCAGCAGCAACAGCAGCAGAAGCAGGACCAGUGGAUGUAUCAAGAACCCGGCAAUAGGGCGGCGGCGGCGGCGGUACCGGACCAGGUUCUCCCGAAUCAGACGAGCUCCUCCCCCGAGGUCUCCUCCGUGGGGUACGAGUCCGACUGCUGCCAUCCCGACCGUGGAGCCCCGGCGGUCAACGAGCGGAGAUCACUGGACGACGGGUACAACUGGAGGAAGUACGGGCAGAAGCAGGUGAAGGGUAGCGAGAACCCUCG